AGUGAACGCUGGCGGUAGGCCUAACACAUGCAAGUCGAACGGCAGCACAGUAAGAGCUUGCUCUUACGGGUGGCGAGUGGCGGACGGGUGAGGAAUACAUCGGAAUCUACUUUUUCGUGGGGGAUAACGUAGGGAAACUUACGCUAAUACCGCAUACGACCUACGGGUGAAAGCAGGGGAUAUUCGGACCUUGCGCGAUUGAAUGAGCCGAUGUCGGAUUAGCUAGUUGGCGGGGUAAAGGCCCACCAUGGCGACGAUCCGUAGCUGGUCUGAGAGGAUGAUCAGCCACACUGGAACUGAGACACGGUCCAGACUCCUACGGGAGGCAGCAGUGGGGAAUAUUGGACAAUGGGCGCAAGCCUGAUCCAGCCAUACCGCGUGAGUGAAGAAGGCCUUCGGGUUGUAAAGCCCUUUUGUUGGGAAAGAAAAGCAGCAGGUUAAUCCCCCGCUGUUCUGACGGUACCCAAAGAAUAAGCACCGGCUAACUUCGUG
rnacentral:rRNA from 1 species